GUCCCUGUAGCGCAAUGGAUAGCGCGUUGGACUUCUAAUCCAAAGAUCGUGGUCGAAUUCCACCUGGAAUG